rnacentral:rRNA from 1 species
UACGUAUGGUGCGAGCGUUGUCCGGAAUUAUUGGGCGUAAAGAGCGUGUAGGCGGCUUGGUAGGUCCGCUGUGAAAACUCGAGGCUCAACCUCGAGAUGUCGGCGGAAACCACUUGGCUAGAGUCCGGAAGAGGAGAGUGGAAUUCCCGGUGUAGCGGUGAAAUGCGCAGAUAUCGGGAAGAACACCUAUGGCGAAGGCAGCUCUCUGGGACGGUACUGACGCUGAGACGCGAAAGCGUGGGGAGCGAACAGG